GAGCAACCAUGCUAUAAGCAGCUUUUAGCCAGGUAUGAUCAUAAAUCAUCAGCUCAUACCUAGAACUACUUAUAUGAACUCCAAAUGUCUCUCCCCUGGAGUGGGGGUGAAAGUGCUUGAGGGUACUCCACAGGGAGGAAUUCCCAAGUGCUCCUUCCUGAGUUCAAAGCGGUUUUUUUUGCAUAUGGGUGGUGGCAGCGUUUACCAAGCCGAGCACUUUAAAAUGUGGCAGACAUGCAGCUCUUAUGGCAUCCCACUUCAUGGGGUGUGAAGUCAUGUCUCACCAGCUUGUGGUUAUUGCUCAUAUCUUCUGAAGAAAACCAUGGCCAUUAGGAGGAUGUAAAACUUUGCUUUCAAUUGAAGAGCAUGGAACCCUUGUAAAUGUGUAUUCCUUCCAUUGCUUCUAAUGCUAUUACAAUUUCAUGGACCCACUGCUCUCUGAUAAUUAGCCCAGAAUAGGAAAGCAUAUGAUAUUCCCGGGGUUCCAAGCAGAUACUUAUGUCCCUGUAGUGGGGCAGUCACCCCACUCCCUGGCUAAGAGGGGUUAAAAGCAGCCCUAGAGAGGGCUGCAGCUGAGAAAAAGGGUAAGCUGAUUGGGGAAACAGCCAUAGCUGGGGCCAUGCCCCAAUCAGGCCACAGCUGGCCCUAUAAAAAGGCUGUGAGGCAGCAGCUUAGGUAGUCUCUCUCUAGCAGUGGAGAGAGGACUUAGCUGUUUGGGAGCUGAGCAGGGUGCCUGAGGUGGAGCAGGGCUAGGCAAGGCAGGGCCAGCUCCAGGCACCAGCGCAGCAAGCUGGUGCUUGGGGUGGCCCAUGGAAGGAGGCAGCAUGUCUGGGUCUUUGGCGGCAAUUCGGCGGCGGGUCCCUCAUUCCCUCUCGGAGGGAAGGACCGCCGCCGAAUUGCUGCCAAAGAAUGAAGCGGUGCUGUAGAGCAGCUGCCAAAGUGCCACCGAUCACGGCUUUCCCCCCCCGCUCCUUUGCUGCUUGGAGUGGCAAAAAAGCUGUAGCUGGUGCUGGGGGAAGGCAAAGGAGUGGGGAAGCAGCCACUGAGGCAAGGUGGGGAUAGAGGGUUGCGGGUUCCCUGGGGGGCGGGGGAGACCCAGAUUGUGGG